ACUCAAAUGAAUAGACGGGGGCCCGCACAAGCGGUGGAGCAUGUGGUUUAAUUCGAUGCAACGCGAAGAACCUUACCUACCUUUGAAUCCACGGAAUCUUACAGAGAUGUGAGAGUGCCUUCGGGAACCGUGAGACAGGUGCUGCAUGGCUGUCGUCAGCUCGUGUCGUGAGAUGUUGGGUUAAGUCCCGUAACGAGCGCAACCCUUGUCCUUAGUUACCAGCGAGUCAUGUCGGGGACUUUAAGGAGACUGCCGGUGAUAAACCGGAGGAAGGUGGGGAUGACGUCAAGUCCUCAUGGCCCUUACAGGUAGGGCUACACACGUGCUACAAUGGCCGGUACAAAGGGUUGCCAACCCGCGAGGGGGAGCUAAUCUCAAAAAGCCGGUCGUAGUCCGGAUUGGAGUCUGCAACUCGACUCCAUGAAGCUGGAAUCGCUAGUAAUCGUGGAUCAGAACGCCACGGUGAAUACGUUCCCGGGCCUUGUACACACCGCCCGU
rnacentral:rRNA from 1 species